CACAGGGAGGUAGUGACAGUAAAUAGCAAUGCAGGGCCCUCUGGGUCUUGCAAUUGGAAUGAGAACAAUUUAAAUCCCUUAUCGAGUAACAAUUGGAGGGCAAGUCUGGUGCCAGCAGCCGCGGUAAUUCCAGCUCCAAUAGCGUAUAUUAAAGUUGUUGCAGUUAAAAAGCUCGUAGUUGAACCUUGGCGUCAGCUAGGCGGGACUGAGCAAUCAGGGCCAGCCGGGCGGCGCCGUAGUGGAGCGAACGGGCAACCGCCUCGCUCCGAGUUACUGUGAAGAAAUUAGAGUGUUUAAAGCAGGCAGCCGCUUGAAUACAUCAGCAUGGAAUAACAAGAUAGGACUAGAGUCCCACUUGUUGGUUUGGGGGCAUUAGUAAUGAUUAAUAGGGCCAGUUGGGGGCAUUAGUAUUCAGUAGUCAGAGGUGAAAUUCUUGGAUUUACUGAAGACUAACUAGUGCGAAAGCAUUUGCCAAGGAUGUUUUCAUUAAUCAAGAACGAAAGUUAGGGGAUCGAAGACGAUCAGAUACCGUCGUAGUCUUAACUAUAAACGAUGCCGACUAAGGAUCGGCAGCAGUCGUUCGCGACGCUGUCGGCACUUUGUGAGAAAUCAAAGUUUUUUGGGUUCUGGGGGGAGUAUGGUCGCAAGGCUGAAACUUAAAGGAAUUGACGGAAGGGCACCACCAGGAGUGGAGCCUGCGGCUUAAUUUGACUCAACACGGGAAAACUCACCAGGUCCGGACAUAGUAAGGAUUGACAGAUUGAGAGCUCUUUCUUGAUUCUGUGGGUGGAGGUGCAUGGCCGUUCUUAGUUGGUGGAGUGAUUUGUCUGGUUAAUUCCGAUAACGAACGAGACCUUAACCUGCUAACUAGUUGCGUGGUGGCGACACUGCGACACUUCUUAGAGGGACUGACUAUGGUUAAUAGUCGGAAGUUUGAGGCAAUAACAGGUCUGUGAUGCCCUUAGAUGUUCUGGGCUGCACGCGCGCUACACUGACAAAGUCAGCGAGUGGUCCUUGGCCGAGAGGUCUGGGAAAUCUUGUGAAACUUUGUCGUGCUGGGGAUAGAUCAUUGCAAUUAUUGGUCUUGAACGAGGAAUUCCUAGUAAGCGCCAGUCAUCAGCUGGCGUUGAUUACGUCCCUGCCCUUUGUACACACCGCCCGUCGCUACUACCGAUU
rnacentral:rRNA from 1 species